rnacentral:miRNA from 1 species
CAGCAGACACAUUCCAGCCAAUCAGCAGCAGACCCUCCCUCCCAGACACUCCCACCUCCUGGACAGCAUCCAUUUUACAUUCAUUGUGAAGCUGCAUUCUUAGUGAGCUGUCCAGGAAGAGGGAGGGACUGGGAGGGAGGGUCUGCUGCUGAUUGGCUGGAAUGUGUCUGCUG